rnacentral:rRNA from 1 species
GUGGGGAAUUUUGGGCAAUGGGCGAAAGCCUGACCCAGCAACGCCGCGUGAAGGACGAAAUCCCUCUGGGAUGUAAACUUCGAAAGUUGGGGACGAAAAGCAGUGGGCGAAUAGUCCAUUGAUAUGACGGUACCCAACGUAAGCCCCGGCUAACUACGUGCCAGCAGCCGCGGUAAUACGUAGGGGGCAAGCGUUGUUCGGAAUUACUGGGCGUAAAGGGCGCGUAGGCGGCAGGCCAAGUCGGAAGUGAAAGCCCAGGGCUCAACCCUGGAAUGUCUUACGAAACUGGCCAGCUUGAGUGCAGAAGAGGCAACUGGAAUUCCCAGUGUAGCGGUGAAAUGCGUAGAUAUUGGGAAGAACACCUGAGGCGAAGGCGGGUUGCUGGGCUGACACUGACGCUGAGGCGCGAAAGCCAGGGGAGCAAACGGGAUUAGAUACCCCAGUAGUCC